GACGAACGCUGGCGGCGUGCUUAACACAUGCAAGUCGAACGGUGAAGCGCCUUCCUUUUUGGUGGGUGUGGAUGAGUGGCGAACGGGUGAGUAACACGUGAGUAACCUGCCCCCUUCUUCUGGAUAACCGCAUGAAAGUGUGGCUAAUACGGGAUAUUCUGGGUCUGUCGCAUGAUGGGUCUGGGAAAGAUAUUGUUUCGGUGGGGGAUGGGCUCGCGGCCUAUCAGCUUGUUGGUGGGGUGAUGGCCUACCAAGGCGGUGACGGGUAGCCGGCCUGAGAGGGUCGACGGUCACACUGGGACUGAGCCACGGCCCAGCCUCCUACGGGCGGCAGCAGUGGGGAAUAUUGCACAAUGGGCGCCAGCCUGAUGCAGCGACGCCGCGUGAGGGAUGGAGGCCUUCGGGUUGUGAACCUCUUUCGCCAGUGAAGCAGGCCUGCCUCGUUUGUGGGUGGGUUGACGGUAGCUGGAUAAGAAGCGCCGGCUAACUACGUG
rnacentral:rRNA from 1 species